AGAUCAUGUUGAGGACAAUUCCUUAGCAUUCCUCUGUAUCUCUCCCAAGCUUCAUACAACGACUCGCCAUCGUUCUGUUGGAAAUUUGCUAUCUUCUUAUUGAGUUU